AUUCCAUGAUGGGGACAUUCUAGGAUGUAGUAUUGGAAGCGCUCUCAAGCUUCUAGAAUAGAUUCAUCAUGUUGUUGCUGAAAACUUGUAAUCUUCUCACGAAGAGC
rfam:Sorghum bicolor cultivar BTx623 chromosome 7, whole genome shotgun sequence.